rnacentral:tRNA from 1 species
CGGGGUGUGGCACAGGUGGUAGUGUGCUUGGUUCGGGACCAAGAGGCCGUGGGUUCGAGUCCCACCACUCCGACCA